rnacentral:rRNA from 1 species
AGGCAAUGGUGGGAUACUACCCUGGCUGUAUGACCAUUCUAACCCGCCACGCUUAGCGCGUGGGGAGACAGUGUCAGGUGGGCAGUUUGACUGGGGCGGUCGCCUCCUAAAGAGUAACGGAGGCGCCCAAAGGUUCCCUCAGAAUGGAUGGAAAUCAUUCGCAGAGUGUAAAGGCACAAGGGAGCUUGACUGCGAGACUGACAAGUCGAGCAGGGACGAAAGUCGGGCU